GCGGGACAUCCGGACGUGGUUCAGGAAGCGGCUCCGGGUUUGACCCGGCGCCUUGGGCUGCUGGAGACGCUUGGUCUCCGCAGGGUGUUUGUGAUGAUGGUGUUGAGAAUCGCAGCCGGCAGUAAUCCCGCCUGCUCUAUGCUCACCUUUCACCCAAGAGGUUUCAUUUAAUUCUUACAGCAGCCCUGGAUGGAGGAACGAUUAUUCUCGCUCUACCGAUGGGAAACUGAGGCACAGACUUGUUUAAUAACUUUGCCCAAUCCAUAGAGCUGCGAGGUGCUAGAUCUCUAUGACUCGGGAGCCCCGUCCCUUAACAGUCACCAAACCUGUGUUUCCCCUCAGGGAAUUGUGUGGCAGAAGGACCCCGAAGGCAGUGGACACUGAGAACGCCCUUGAGACCGCAGGCGUGUGUGAGGGAGUGGGAGGUGGUCAGGGGAGGCUUUGGAGGACGUGAUGUCCAAGCCGAACAUGAGUAGAAGUUGAGCAGGUCGAGAAGGGCAGAGAGAGCAUGCGGGGCAUGUGUGCAGAAGACUUCCCAAAAAGGACAGGUCACGUGGCUUAGAAGAGGACAAGGACGGGCCACGUGUUUUGGCACAGGGUCGUGGCAGAGCUUUCCAAAGACUUGCCAGUCCAGACUUGUGGGCAGCAGGGAGCCACUGAAGAGAUUCAGGCCGAGGGCUGGCGUGGUCCCCCAGCUUUGCGAAGAUCAGUGGGUGUGCUGAGGAGAAGGGCUGGGCCUGGAGGGAGGGCGGUUGAUGGACAGCCCUGGGCGCAGCACUUGUUAGUGUUUGGGUUGUGGAAGCGUGUGGUGUUACAGAUCAUCAGGACUUGCUGAAAGGUGGGACUUGGGAGGUUCAAGGAGUGUCGAGCAGGAGGCCGGUGAGUUGGCUCUGUCCCAGAGCGGACGGGGGACCAUUCCAUGAUGGCAGGGCCCAGGAAGAUGAGCAGGACAGGGAAGAGUGAGUCCAGUGUGGGACAUGGCCUAGGGCUGGCCACAGGGGGGACAGGAAUGUGUUCAGAGUCCCAGAGAGGCCUGAGUUGAAGGGAAGGGAGAUCAUGCUGCAGACACCCCAGCCGGACCUGGAGAGAGAGCUCGGGGGAGAGGAGGGAGACAGCCUCGCCCCGCCCAAACCAGGAGACGGACGUCUGGAGCUCAGGGUCAGCCACUCAUUUUUAUUAAGCUGUAAAUUUAAUCUCACAAUGUUCUCAGUAGAUACAGGUUCUGAGUCAUCUCCGCUGUGCAGGUGGGGAACAGGCUCAGGACAGGGACGGCCCAGAUCACAGUGGGUCCAUGACGUGGCCAAGACCAGAUGCCAGCGCCCCUUCUGCUGCACCCUCCACAAGAAGCGGGCGACUCACAGACGGGCAGACUCAGGGACAUGGGCGGAGAGCAGCAGCACCCUGGACAGUCAUCGCAGUGUGUCUGUGCGCCCGUCCACGUGUGGAAAAGGCUCCUCUCCAGACCGCAGAGGGGAGCAGGGUGGAGGCGUUGGUGCCGUUCAGUCAGGUAAGGUAAGAGAAGGCAGGGCUCUGCCGCUACCUACCCACUCCUCCUAAAGGCAGGCUGGUGAGGGUCAUGUGCAUGAAGCCGUCGUUCCCACAGAAGCCCCCGCUGCUGGUCCGGGCCAGCACCUGCUUGACCACCUGGGAAGAAGCAGCAAUGAGGCUAGGUGGCUGGGCAGCAAGAAGCCAGGUCCCAGGAGCUAUCCCCAGGUCCCAAGGGCUCUGCCCAGCCCCCUCAGCGCCCUGGAAGGGUUCCAGUUCACCAUGGGAGUUGAAGGGGGUCGGGGGACAGGUGGAGGGCAUGGCCGCAUAGCAGCCUGCCACCGAGCUCCGGACUCAGGACGUGCUGCUCUGUGCAGGGUGCUGGGGACAAAGACUCAGGUCCCAGGGGGAGGCGGGUUUGCCUGGGGACAUGGAUAGUGCACGGGAGGUGCCGAGUAGUCAGGGAGGUGUCCCAGAGGAGGGAUGUGACGUGCCUGCCGAGUCUUGGGUCGGGGGGGGGGGGGCGGCAGGAGUCAUUCAGGCAGAUAGAGAAAGAGGGCGCCCCAGGCAGAGCGAAGGGCAGGUGGGGAGGCCCGGGGACGGAAAUGGGGGCAGGCUGUGUGGUACGUAGCACAGGGAGGUCAGACUAGACCACAUGGUCACAUUGGUAUUUUAGACAGGUGAACUUGGUUUUUGCUUGAGUUAAUGCAGGCCCUUUCUCUUCAAUCUUUAGGUUUACCUGAAGAAUAAGAGGAAAAAAGAUUACUAGACACUAAAUAGUCGUUCACGAAAACUUCACUAUAUUAAGUUAGAGCGUGUAGCCUUCAGAUACCGGCUGGGAUGGGGUUCAUUUGAUGGUGGGGAGGGCAAACUGCCAGUCGGUGGGCUCAGAGGUCACCUCAAGACCAGCUGUAGUGACACAGACGACAGAGUGGGGAACAUUAGUGCUUUAGGAGGCGUAUGGGCACGUCACGUGGAGUGCGGCGUGUGUCUCGGGUGUCACUGUGUCCUGGGAUUAGUGCUAGGCAGUCAGAAAAGCUCGAAAGCCUCUCUGCCAGAUGAUCCCUAUUCCAAAACACCUGUGCUGCAUUUUCGAAAGUGAACAUAAUCCACAUAAACCAGGGCUCUUGGAGGAAGAGCUCAUUGUAGGGCUGGGCAGAGAAAAUACAAGAUGAGCUUGAAGCAUCUUGUAGACCCAGCAAAGAAGGAAGUGGUGAAGAGGACGAGAAGACGGGCGGGUCUCGGGCACGCAACAGCUCCCAGGGCCCAAAGUCGGGAAAACCAAGCAAGGACACAGGGCGGCACUGGAUCGUAACCCAGAGAAUAAAGCAGGUGCACACGUGUCCACGCCGACACUGACAAGAGCCACAUCUCCCUUACAGGUUCCAGGUAGCAUGCGUAGAUGUCCCCCUUUGAGCAGGUGGAGAUGAGUGACACCCUCGCCCAUCGAAGGCUACACUUUGGGAAUGGAGUAAGGAAAGGAACAUUGGUCGCUACUCAUGGAGACCAGUGGCAGACACGACCUUGGCCGAGCGGUGAAGGUUAACCUCACCGGUGACGUGUGGAUCUUGCGGAUCCCUCAUAGAGUGGGCAGACCUCAGCCCUUGCCUCUGCUGUGUUCUUCCAUGAGAAAAACAGCAGACCGCUGACAUUGAGGACUUGGGGCAAGAGACCAGGCUGGUACCCCUGAGGCUGAGAGACGGUCACAGGCUGGGGGACCCCUAACAACUAAUGCACCGUGGGACCCUGGCGUGGAUUCUGGGGCAGGAAGGAAAACUGGCGUAAUCUGAAUCAAGUCCAGAGGGCGGUUACCGGCAACGUGCCAAGUUGGUUACUGAGUCAUGACCAGUGUCAGGGCCCUGAAUGGGAGAACUGGGCGUAGCGUAUAUGUUCCCUGGGUUACCGCAGCAACAUUUCUGGAAAUCUAGUUAUUCCCAAAUAAAAAAUAUAUUUGAAAAACAU